rnacentral:rRNA from 1 species
GAUGAACGCUAGCGGCAGGCCUAAUACAUGCAAGUCGAGGGAGAAUGUUGGAUUCGUCUGACAUGAAACCGGCGCACGGGUGUGUAACACGUAUGCAACCUACCUUUAACUGGGGUAUAGCUCAGAGAAAUCUGAAUUAAUCCCCCAUAAGACUACGACAUGGCAUCAUGAUGUAGUUAAAGCUCCGGCGGUUAAGGAUGGGCAUGCGGUACAUUAGCUAGUUGGUGAGGUAAUGGCUCACCAAGGCUACGAUGUAUAGGGGGUCUGAGAGGAUGAUCCCCCACACUGGUACUGAGACACGGACCAGACUCCUACGGGAGGCAGCAGUAGGGAAUAUUGGUCAAUGGACGCAAGUCUGAACCAGCCAUGCCGCGUAAAGGAUGAAGGCCCUAUGGGUCGUAAACUUCUUUUAUUAGGGAAGAAAAAACGGGAUGCGUCAUGUACUGACGGUACUUAAUGAAUAAGGAUCGGCUAACUUCGUGCCAGCCGCCGCAGUAA